GCUACUUGAGCUGAAUCCCUUCCUAACAUUAAAAAAUCAUCUGUAUGUAUCAGUACUUCUAUUUUCUUCCCUAGUCUUUCCUACAGAUACUCUUGGAGACAUCAGCCUUGCCUAGGUUUAUAAAAAGCAACACAAACAGCUGAUUGGUUCCAUGGAAUAGUUGAAUGACUGAUGGGGGUACAGACCACUCCAAAAGUUAUCAGAACCAUACUGUUGUUUUAAGGAAUUCACAAAAUGCAACCCUUGGACAACCUGUGGUAUUUCUGGAAACACUGGAAGAGUGCCAUGGUGUCUGCUGCCUCUGCUCCACACUGCUUGGGAAUCUGGAAGCAUAUCAAUUUUCCUGGACAUCAGGGAGACCCACUGCUAGAGAAACUUUCCAGUAGACCAUUGAGCAAGGAUUCAUAACUAUGAGAUAAACAUGUCAUACAAUGUGAAGUGGGACUCCUCAAGUUUAAUUAAACCUGCA
rnacentral:lncRNA from 1 species